ACUAAUUGAGUUCGGUGACCAAAAUCGGUACAUUACAUAUCUGCGGCAACACGUUUGUACAAAUGCGAGGGGAGCCUUGGAGUAGGCACGGCUUGUAAUGGGGUUCUCAUGUAAGUCACAAGCCCUGGAUUUUCCGACAUGUCUAUCUCCUUUGGAUUCAUCCCUUCAGCCGGAGCCCAACUGAAAUGGUGCAAUAGAUGCCCCAACAUGGACACCACCAAAUUCACACUAAGUUGUGCUCCCGGGCAUACUCGCCUACCGGCUCCAAACGGAAGUAGUCUGAAAUCAUGCCCCUUCAUGUCAACAUCCUCCUCUAGGAACCUUUCUGGUCGGAACUCAUGCGGGUCUUUCCAAACAGCGGGGUCACGCGCUACGGCCCAGACAUUUACAUGAACACUCGCACCCUUGGGGAUGUCGUAGCCGCCGAUCUUGACAUUGGCAUUAGCUCGGUGGGGGAGCAUUAGAGGAGUUGGAGGGUGCAACCGCAACGCUUCCUUUGCUACACAUUGUAGGUAAGGGAGAUUUGAGAAAUCGUCUUCGGUCAUGACCCGUUCGAACCCGAUGACACGGUCCAGCUCCUCUUGUGCCUUUUUUUGCACCCUCGGGUUCUUAAUCAACUCAGCCAUAGCCCAUUCAACUGAAAUAGCUGUGGUGUCUGUGCCCGCAGUAAUCAUAUCCUGCAUGCACAAAUGGUAUAACUAAGUUAUGAACCCGAGGCAACAAGGUUAGAAUUUGAGGGUUUGUGCAAAGCUUAGAUUGGGGUCACACACAUAAUAGGAAAAAUAACUCUUCUUUUAGAAAUAUCAAAUCGAAAAAACUGCAUGUAUACAUUACUUACCCAAAGAAGUCCGAUAAUAGUGUCUUCACUAAGGUCAUACUUGUCCUUCAAUGUAAGCAACGCAUCGACAAAAUGCUGCUUGGCACCGCCACUCUUGGUGCGAGCCUGUGUGUGCUCCUCCAUGAUUGCCCUAGUGAGUCGGUCUCUUCGUGCCCCAUGCUGAGCAAACGCCUUUUCCUCCAGCGGGAACAUCCAACGCAGCCAUGGAAUGUGCUCGGCCAUCGAAAGCGACGCACCGAUCUUCACUCCAUUAGAAACAACAGCUUUGAAUUCUUGGCCUUGCUCAUCCAUUUCAUCCUGUGAGUUAACAAAACGCUUUCCGAAUGCUAGCCUUGUUAUGUUGUUGAAUGCCACUCUUCCCAAAUACUUCUUCACCAGCAAACUUUCCCCAUUUUUUUCUGCAAUAUGGUGAUAAAUUAAAGUUAAUCACAAAUUCACAGCUAGCAUAGUCAAGCAAUUUGGGAACAUAAAAUGCAUACCAUGAAUGGUACAGUGUUUGAAAAUGGACUCAACCAUAGCAGUGACCUCAUCUUCCCUAAUGGGUCUGAGAGCUUCAAUCCUCUUUGCAGAAAAAAGCUCAAGAGUGCACACCUUCCUGACCUUAACAUAGUGGGGCCCAUAGUCAGCCCAAAUGAGGUCCUGCCCAUCCUUGCUAAACCUGGCGCUUGAUCUAUUCCUGUGCCUAUCAGCCAGUUUCUGGUCAUGCUCUUUGAGCACCUCCUUUGCCAAUUCUGAGCUUGACACUACAACGUUGAGUGUGGAUCCAGUCCACACUGAAAUGAUGGGCCCAUAGGCCUGCGCCCACUCCGCGUAGCACCGGAACCUCACGGGCUUUAUGUGGUAGAGGUUUCCGACGACUGGCCACGGAAGUGGGCCGGGCGGGAGCUUAAAUCUCAGCCUUUGAUAUAGCUUGUAAGCAAGGAAGAUGAAGAUGAGGAGGAGUAGUAGUCCAGAGAGAGCCAUGUGAAAUGAGAAACACUGAGAUAGAGAGUUCGGAGAAGUGAUUUUGUUUUGAGUUGUGGAUGUGUGGAGUAAUUUAAAGGCACAUGCAAUUGUACGACGAGGUUACCACGUGAUAUUUACUCAACGUAAUUAUGCAAAUUGGACGACCGCAGCUUGGACAAGAUAUACCCUAUAGUGGGGCCAGAAGAAGCAUCGCCCACUCAUAUUCUCAACCAUCAUUAAUAGGACAAGUGUCAACCAUCUAAUGGAUGCCGUUCGAGAUGGGGAGGUAGGUAGUUAGAGCACCCCAGAGCGUCCCCUCUCAACUACAAGUCUACAAAAAACAAAAAAAACAAAAAAAAAGACACACCCACACAACACAACCACCUGAACUCAAAUUGAUCUUUCCAGAUAUUUCUUCCUUUACACAAAGCACACCAUUUUCAUCUAUAGAAAAAAGAUUGUUUGGUAAGGAAGGUGAUGUUGGUUCAAAACGAUCCCAUCAUCGGGGGGAGGAGCGAAAUAGCAAAUAUGAUUUUUAAGGUGAUGGUCACCUUCCAAAGUUGAGCUAGGACUGUGUUGCAACAUUAAUCCAGUAUGCGGACCUGUCACACAAUGGUGUGUGGGCUGGGGGACCGCACAAGACCCCCUGAAAAAACGGCCUACUAUAAAACCUUGUAGUCCAAUAAUUAUAUAAGAAAAAAUGCCUUUAGAAGGAAAUAAAGAGAAUCCAUUUAUAAGGAAGGAAAUACAUGGCAAAAAAAUAAUAAUAAGAAACACAAAAUGGCAGUUGCAUCAUAGUAGCUCAAUAUAAUUAGUGGUGUGUUUACUAAUCAGAAUUUGGAAUUAGAAUUAUGAAUUGAAUUUCAAUUAUGGAGGAUUCAUGCGUUUACUUCAUAUUAAGGAAUAAAAAGUAAGAGGGCUCCACACAAAAUCAUAAGGAAUUCAAUUUUUGGGUGGGAGAUAGUAUUAUAAUUCAUUGAAAAUUAACAUAUUAGGAAUUCAUAUUUUUUAUUCAUUAUAUCCUCACACAAUUUUAAAAAUUCUAAAUUUCUCAUCUACUUUAGCCCAACAACGAUGACAUUUUAGUAAUUAACAACACUCAUACCCCAAUUUCAUAUAUUUUAGUAAACAACUUCAAUAAGAGUCUGAAAUAUAAUUAUCCUCAAUUCAACUCCUCCUCAAUUCAAUUCAUUAUAAUUCACUAAACAUGCCAUAAAUUUAAAGAAUCCAGGCAUGGAUACUUUUUUGACAAGUCCAAAAAGUAUUAGGACACAUAUUUCCUCCAAUCACAGGUGAGCCCAACUACAACAACACAAAAGACCAAAAUCCCAAACUAGACUUAAAGCCUGGUCCACACCAACCACAGUGUUUCAAGUCUAAUUGGCAGGUAACAAUUCGUACAUAAAAUAAUAAUUUCGUGAAUUUAAAGGACCAUUUGUUAAAAUAAACCAUUAUGUUAUUAUCCAAAAACCCUAUGAGGUUGCUCAUUUAGUUCCCAAGCCAACUUAGUACAGUCCCAAACACAUAUCUAAUCUUUUUUUGGUGAAUUUUUCUUACUAAGAAAUUUGAAAAAUCAAGUAUGGAAAUAUUCAACGAGCAAUAUAUGUUUUGCAGUGGAAAUAUUGAAAAAAAAGAAGAUUUAAAUUAUCAAGUUUGAUUAAUGAUGAAGAGGAAUAUUACAUAUAGAGGAGAAAUAAACAGUCCCCUCAUUUCAAUUACUACAACCAUAAGAAUAAAUUUAUUCUUCCAAUAUUUGGACACUAAUUGUGACCAAGAAAGAUACUGAAAUCCUUUCGGAAGAAACUAAAAGGUACAUUACAUUUCUGCGGCAACACGUUUGUACAAAUGCGAGGGGAGCCUUGGAGUAGGCACGGCUUGUAAUGGGGUUCUCAUGUAAGUCACAAGCCCUGGAUUUUCUGACAUGUCAAUCUCCUUUGGAUUCAUCCCUUCAGCUGGAGCCCAACUGAAAUGGUGCAAUAGAUGCCCCAACAUGGACACCACCAAAUUCACACUAAGUUGUGCUCCCGGGCAUACUCGCCUGCCUGCUCCAAACGGAAGUAGUCUGAAAUCAUGCCCCUUCAUGUCAACAUCCUCCUCUAGGAACCUUUCUGGUCGGAACUCAUGCGGGUCUUUCCAAACCGCCGGGUCACGCGCUACGGCCCACACGUUUACGUGAACACUCGCACCCUUGGGGAUGUCGUAGCCGCCGAUCUUGACAUUGGCAUUAGCUCGGUGGGGAAGCAUUAGAGGAGUUGGAGGGUGCAACCGCAACGCUUCCUUUGCUACACAUUGCAGGUAAGGGAGAUUUGAGAAAUCGUCUUCGGUCAUGACCCGUUCGAACCCGAUGACUCGGUCUAGCUCCUCUUGUGCCUUGUUUUGCACCCUCGGGUUCUUAAUCAACUCAGCCAUAGCCCAUUCAACUGAAAUAGCUGUGGUGUCUGUGCCCGCAGUAAUCAUGUCCUGCAUGCACAAAUGGUAUAACUAAGUUAGAAUGUAGGAUCCUUAUAUAUAUGUAUAGUGUUUUCAGAAAGGUAUACGCCCUCCAAGGUAGGAAGCUCAUAACUAAUUAAGAACAUUAAAAAGGAAAUAUGGGUAUUUGGCAACAAGUUUAGAAUUUGAGGGUUUGUGCAAAGCUUAGAUUGGGGUCGCACACGCGAUCUAACAUGAAAAUACUUCAAUAAAAAAAAGUUUUAUCAUGAAGUGGUGUCAUAAAAUAACGAGCAUAAUGAGCACAAAGAGCGUUGCAAACCAACUUCAGCGGGCACACAGUUAUGAAAGUAUGUUGUGCGUUCACGUAUAUGCAUAUGAAAAACAGCUCUUAAAAAUUAGGGGCCUUGUGCUGUGGAACCAUCCCUAUCUGGCAAUGCUUAAUUCUAUCAUGUAUAUGGUUGUAUCCCACAUACUAGGAAAAAAUAACCCUUCUUUUAGAAAUAUCAAAUUGAAAAGACUGCAUGUAUACAUUACUUACCCAAAGAAGUCCGAUAAUUGUGUCUUCACUAAGGUCAUACUUGUCCUUCAAUGUAAGCAAUGCAUCGACAAAAUGCUGCUUGGCACCGCCACUCUUGGUGCGAGCCUGUGUGUGCUCCUCCAUGAUUGCCCUAGUGAGUCGGUCUCUUCGUGCCCCAUGCUGAGCAAACGCCUCUUCCUCCAGCGGGAACAUCCAACGCAGCCAGGGAAUGUGCUCGGCCAUCGAAAGCGAUGCACCGAUCUUCACUCCAUUAGAAACAACAGCUUUGAAUUCUUGGCCUUGCUCAUCCAUUUCAUCCUCUGCGUUAACAAAACGCUUUCCGAAUGCUAGCCUUGUUAUGUUGUUGAAUGCCACUCUUCCCAAAUACUUCUUCACUAGCAAACUUUCCCCAUUUUUUUCUGCAGUAUGGUGAUUAAUUAAUGUUAAUCACAAAUUCACAAUUAAUACACAUUAAGUAUGCAAACUAAUAAAGUAGCAUUGAAUCCAAUCAUACGGUAACAAUAAAUACCAAUCAAUCAACCUCAAGUACUUCCUCUCAGAAAACUCAACUACCAUUAUAGAUAUGCGAGUGUAAUUUGAAUUAAUGAACGAUGAAAUAAACACGUGGUAUAACAUGAGUGAAUUAUAUCGAUGUAGACAAUUAAAAAAGUACAAACUGCAAAUGACAUUUGAAAAACUAGCAUAGUCAAGCAAUUUGGGAACAUAAAAUGCAUACCAUUAAUGGUACAGUGCUUGAAAAUGGACUCAACCAUAGCGGUGACCUCAUCUUCUCUAAUGGGUCUGAGAGCUUCAAUCCUCUUUGCAGAGAAAAGCUCAAGAGUGCACACCUUCCGGACCUUAACAUAGUGGGGCCCAUAGUCAGCCCAAAUGAGGUCCUGCCCAUCCUUGCUAAACUUGGCGGUUGAUCUAUUCCUUUGCCUAUCAGCCAGUUUCUGGUCAUGCUCUUUGAGCACCUCCUUUGCCAAUUCUGAGCUCGACACUACAACGUUGAGUGUGGAUCCAGUCCACACUGAAAUGAUGGGCCCAUAGGCCUGCGCCCACUCCGCGUAGCACCGGAACCUCACGGGCUUUAUGUGGUAGAGGUUUCCGACGACUGGCCACGGACGCGGGCCGGGCGGGAGCUUAAAUCUCAGCCUUUGAUAGAGCUUGUAAGCAAGGAAGAUGAAGAUGAGGAGUAGUAGUAGUCCAGAGAGAGCCAUGUGAAAUGAGAAACACUGAGAUAGAGAGUUUGGAGAAGUGAUUUUGUUUUAAGUUGUGGAUGUGAUGUGUGGAGUAAGGGGAGAGAGAGGAUAGGUGAGCAAUUUAAAGGACAAGACUUACCCGUUCUUACCACUCAUAUUGUGAACCGUCAUUAAAAGAACACGUGUCAAUCAUCUAUUGGAUGUGGUUCGAGAUGGGGCGGUAGGUAGGUAGAGCACCCCAGAGCGUCCCAUCUCAACUACAAGUCUACAAGUCAAUGGGCUUCUUCUUUUUACUUGUGCACACAACACAACCACCAGAACUCAAAUUGAUAUUUCCAGAUAUUUCUUCCUUUACACAAAUCACAACAUUUUCAUCUAUAGAAAAAAGACUGUCUGGUAAGGAAGGUGAUCAAAAAUUAAAGUAGAAACGAUCCCAUCACAGUGAGGAGGGGCGAAAUAGCUACCUACCCUUCCAAAGUUGAGUUAGGUUAGGACUGUGUUGCCACAUUAAUCCAGUAUACAGACCCAUCACACAGGGUGUGCGGGUUGGGCGACCGUACAAGACCCCCGAAAUAAAAGCCUCCUAUAAAACCUUCUAGUCCAAUAAUUAUUAUAUAAGCAAAAACUGCCUUUCCGUUGUCUGAUUAAUGCUUUUUGAGCUUUAUCAUGAAUUUUUUGGAUUUUUUUUUUCUUCCUAUAGUGGGCCUAUUUUAUUUAUUUAUUUAUUUGUCAUUUUGGUCAUAACGAGAAUCCAUUUAUAAGGAAAGAAAUACACGGCAAAAAAAAGAAAAAAGAAAUACUAAUUAGAAUUUGGAAUGGCAGUUGCAUCAUAGUAGCUCAAUAUAAUUAGUGGUGUGUUUACUAAUUAGAAUUUGGAAUCAGAAUCAAGAAUUGAAUUCUAAUUAUGGAGGAUUCAUGCAUUUAAGGAAUGAAAAGUAAGGCGGGUCCACACAAAAUCAUGAGGAAUUCAAUUCUUGGGUGGGAGAUAGUAUUCUAUUUCAUCGAGAACUAACCCAUUAGGAAUUCAUUUUUUUUAUCCAUUAUAUAUUUUAAAUUUUCCAAAUUUGUCAUCUAUUUAACUCAACAACGAGGACAUUUUAGUAACUAACACCACUCAUACCCCAAUUCUAUAUGAUUUAACAAACAACUUCAAUAAGAAUUCAAAAUCUAAUUAUCCUCAAUUCAACUCCUCCUCGAUUUAAGUCAUCAUAAUUCAAUAAACAAGCCAUAAAUUUAAAGGAUCUAGGCAUGGAUACUUUUUUGACAAGUCCAGGUGAGCCCAACCACAACAACAACAACACAAAAGACCACAAGCCCAAACUAGACUUAAAGCCUGGUCCACACCAACCACAGUGUUUCUGUCAAACCCUUGUUUUACUUAAACUAACCAACUUAGCAUCUAAAUGUGAAAUUUUUCAUUGUUGUACAAAAACAGCUAGUUUUGAAUAUAAAAAGGAUCUCAACUUUCAUUUAUGUCUAGGACUUAUAAAAUUAAUGGACCGGUAGUAGAAUGAUUAGAAUCCACAAAGUCGAAAAGGAAAUAAUUGCCCAAACCAGGUUCUACAUUAACCUCAUCCUCAUACUGAGAUAGAGUUGGUGAAUGGAUUUAUGGAUGAGUGGAUUAAAGAGAGACGACGAGAUGCUUGAAUGCAAAUUAGGAAUACUAUUUUUCUUGAAAUAUUCUUGAAGGAAUAAUAACAAACAUACUAUUUGAUUCGUUAUGGGACUUAAUGACCCAAUAGGGAUAGAGGGAUAAUAAAACUCUUUUUUUUCAAAAACCAAAACUUGAAGAAGAAAAUAAAAGUCACAUAUCUGCAGCCACACGUUUGUACAAGUGCGAUGGAAGCCUUGGAGUAGGCACGGCUUGUAAUGGGGUUCUCAUGUAAGUAACAAGUCCUGGAUUUUCCGACAUGUCAAUCUCCUCUGGUUUUGCUCCUUCUGCCGGGGUCCAACUGAAAUGGUGCAGUAGAUGCCCCAACAUGGAGGUCACCAAGUUGAUGCCAAGUUGGGCUCCCGGGCAUACCCGCCUACCCGCCCCAAACGGAAGUAGUCUAAAAUCAUGGCCCUUCAUGUCAACGUCCUCCUCAAGGAACCUCUCGGGCCGGAAUUCAUACGGGUUUUUCCAUACCUCCGGAUCACGCGCUACGGCCCAAACAUUCACGUGAACGUUGGAUCCCUUGGGGAUGUCGUAGCCACCGAUCUGGACAUUGGCAUUGGCUCGGUGGGGGAGCAUCAACGGGGUUGGAGGGUGCAACCGCAUGCCUUCCUUUGCUACACAUUGUAGGUAAGGGAGGUUUGAGAAAUCGGUUUCGGUCAUGACCCGUUCGAACCCGAUGACCCGGUCUAGCUCCUCUUGGGCCUUUUGUUGCACUCUUGGGUUCUUGAUCAGCUCGGCCAUGGUCCAUUCAACGGUUAUGGCUGUGGUGUCCAUGCCGGCAGUAAUC
rnacentral:lncRNA from 1 species